GGGCCCGCACAAGCGGUGGAGCAUGUGGUUUAAUACGUCACUAACCGUAGAACCUUACCCAGGCUUGACAUCUGUGGAAUUCUGAUGAAAGUCGGAAGUGCCUCGUAAGAGGAGCCGCAAGACAGGUGUUGCAUGGCUGUCGUCAGCUCGUGUCGUGAGAUGUUGGGUUAAGUCCCGCAACGAGCGCAACCCUCAUCCGAUGUUGCCAGCGUGAAAGACGGGAACUCUUCGGAAACUGCCCGUGUAAGCGGGAGGAAGGUGGGGAUGACGUCAAGUCAGCAUGGCCCUUACGCCUGGGGCUACACACAUGCUACAAUGGAUGUGAACAAAGGGCAGCAAUGCCGUGAGGUGGAGCUAAUCUCAAAAAUACAUCCUCAGUUCGGAUUGUAGGCUGCAACUCGCCUACAUGAAGUCGGAAUCGCUAGUAACCGCAGGUCAGCUAAACUGCGGUGAAUACGUUCCCGGGCCUU
rnacentral:rRNA from 1 species